UUAAGUCAAAUUUGUAUGGAGUUGGAAUGUUUGCCUAUGUUUGCCACUAGGGGCACUGUUCGAGCUGCAUACAAAUUACAGGUA
rfam:Bombyx mori DNA, contig: Bm_scaf21_contig15060, strain: p50T/Dazao, build 2, whole genome shotgun sequence.